rnacentral:sRNA from 1 species
CGUUGAGGCACAGCGACUGCAG